rnacentral:rRNA from 1 species
GCAUAAUCAUUUGUCUUUUAAAUGAAGACUCGAACAAAAGAUUCAACAUUUUAAUAAAUAUUUUUUAGCAACUUAAUUUAAAUUAUCUUAAAAGUAAAAAGACUUUUAUACAUAAGAAAGACGACAAGACCCUAUUGAACUUAACUUAAGUUUAAGCUGGGGCAGUUAUUAAAUUAUUAUUUUUAAUUACAAAUAAAUACAAUUAGAUCUAAUAAAAUUAAUUAAUUAAUCAAGUUACCAUAGGGAUAACAGCGUAAUAUAUAUUAAAAGUUCUUAUAAAAAUAUAAGCUUACGACCUC